rnacentral:piRNA from 1 species
UGGGAAACCACAGUGGAAUACAAAAGG